rnacentral:rRNA from 1 species
AUACGUAGGUGGCGAGCGUUAUUCGGAAUUACUGGGCGUAAAGCGCGCGUAGGCGGUUACAUAAGUCGGGUGUGAAAUCCCUGGGCUCAACCUGGGAACUGCAUUCGAUACUGUGUAACUAGAGUUUGGUAGAGGGAAGUGGAAUUCCACAUGUAGCGGUGAAAUGCGUAGAUAUGUGGAGGAACACCAGUGGCGAAGGCGGCUUCCUGGACUAAAACUGACGCUGAGGUGCGAAAGCGUGGGGAGCAAACAGGAUUAGAAACCCCAGUAGUCC